rnacentral:rRNA from 1 species
AAACUGAAGAGUUUGAUCCUGGCUCAGAUUGAACGCUGGUGGUAUGCUUAACACAUGCAAGUCGGACGGUAACAUAGGAGCUUGCUCCUGAUGACGAGUGGCGGACGGGCGAGUAACGCGUAGGAAUCUGCCUAUAAGUGGGGGACAACCAUUGGAAACGAUGGCUAAUACCGCAUGUUGUCUUUGGACAAAAAGUGGCUUUCGGGCUGCUGCUUAUAGAUGAGCCUGCGUUAGAUUAGCUUGAUGGUAGGGUAAAGGCCUACCAUGGCGACGAUCUAUAGCUGUUCUGAGAGGAAGAUCAGCCGCACUGGGACUGAGACACGGCCCAGACUCCUACGGGAGGCAGCAGUGGGGAAUAUUGGACAAUGGGCGCAAGCCUGAUCCAGCAAUACCACGUGUGUGAAGAAGGCCUUAGGGUUGUAAAGCACUUUCAGUGAGGAGGAAGAUUGCUAGGUUAAGAGCUAGGUAGUUUGACGUUACUCACAGAAGAAGCACCGGCUAACUCCGUGCCAGCAGCCGCGGUAAUACGGAGGGUGCGAGCGUUAAUCGGAAUUACUGGGCGUAAAGGGUUCGUAGGCGGUUAAAUAAGUCAGAUGUGAAAGCCCUGGGCUCAACCUAGGAACUGCAUUUGAAACUAUUUGACUAGAAUAUAGUAGAGGAGAGGGGAAUUUCCGGUGUAGCGGUGAAAUGCGUAGAGAUCGGAAGGAACAUCAGUGGCGAAGGCGACUCUCUGGACUAAUAUUGACGCUGAGGGACGAAAGCGUGGGUAGCAAACAGGAUUAGAUACCCUGGUAGUCCACGCUGUAAACGAUGAGUACUAGCUGUUGGUCCUGGUGUAAAAGGAUAAGUGGCAAAGCUAACGCAUUAAGUACUCCGCCUGGGGAUUACGGCCGCAAGGCUAAAACUCAAAGGAAUUGACGGGGACCCGCACAAGCGGUGGAGCAUGUGGUUUAAUUCGAUGCAACGCGAAGAACCUUACCUACCCUUGACAUACUGAGAACUUUCCAGAGAUGGAUUGGUGCCUUCGGGAACUCAGAUACAGGUGCUGCAUGGCUGUCGUCAGCUCGUGUCGUGAGAUGUUGGGUUAAGUCCCGCAACGAGCGCAACCCUUACUUCCAGUUGCUAACAUUAAGUUGAGGACUCUGGAGGGACUGCCGCUGAUAAGGCGGAGGAAGGUGGGGACGACGUCAAGUCAUCAUGGCCCUUACGGGUAGGGCUACACACGUGCUACAAUGGUUGUUACAGAGGGAUGCAAAGCAGUGAUGUGGAGCGAAACCCAGAAAGGCAAUCGUAGUCCGGAUUGGAGUCUGCAACUCGACUCCAUGAAGUUGGAAUCGCUAGUAAUCGCGAAUCAGAAUGUCGCGGUGAAUACGUUCCCGGGUCUUGUACACACCGCCCGUCACACCAUGGGAGUGGGUUGCAAAAGAAGUGGGUAGACUAACCUUCGGGAGGUCGCUCACCACUUUGUGAUUCAUGACUGGGGUGAAGUCGUAACAAGGUAGCCGUAGGGGAACCUGCGGCUGGAUCACCUCCUUA